AUUGAACGCUGGCGGCAUGCCUAACACAUGCAAGUCGAACGAAAACAUGAGGCAGCUUCCUGCUUUGCGUACGCGUGGCGCGCGUGUGUGAAAUGUCUGUGAAACUCCUUUAUGGCUGGGAAUAACUACGGAAAACGGUACCAAAUACGGCAUAACUUCUCAACACCAAGGUUCAGUACCUUCAGACCUCUUUGCAUCCGAUUUUCCCAGGUGGGAUUAGCUAGUAGGUGGGGUAACGGCUAACCUAGGCGCCGAUCCCUAGCUGGUCUGAGAGGAUGACCAGCCACACUGGAACUGAGACACGGUCCAGACUCCUACGGGAGGCAGCAGUGGGGAAUAUUGCACAAUGGGCGCAAGCCUGAUGAAGCCAUGCCGCGUGUAUGAAGAAGGCCUUCGGAUUGUAAAGUACUUUCAGCGGGGAGGAAGGGAGUAAAGUUAAUACCUUUGCUCAUUGACGUUACCCGCAGAAGAAGCACCGGCUAACUCCGU
rnacentral:rRNA from 1 species